GGGGGUGUAGCUCAGUGGUAGGGUGUGUGCUUGGCAUGCACAAGGUCCUGGGUUCAAUGCCCAGCACCUCCA
rnacentral:tRNA from 1 species